rnacentral:rRNA from 1 species
GAUGAACGCUAGCGAUAGGCUUAACACAUGCAAGUCGAGGGGCAGCAUGGUCUUAGCUUGCUAAGACUGAUGCGACCGGCGCACGGGUGCGUAACGCGUAUGCAACUUGCCUCACAGAGGGGGAUAACCCGUCGAAAGACGGACUAAUACCGCGUACACUCCAGUCUGGGCAUCCAGGCUAGAGGAAAUGAAAUUCGCUGUGAGAUAGGCAUGCGUCCCAUUAGCUAGUUGGUGAGGUAACGGCUCACCAAGGCAACGAUGGGUAGGGGAACUGAGAGGUUGAACCCCCACACUGGUACUGAGACACGGACCAGACUCCUACGGGAGGCAGCAGUGAGGAAUAUUGGUCAAUGGGCGAGAGCCUGAACCAGCCAAGUCGCGUGAAGGAUGACUGUCUUAUGGAUUGUAAACUUCUUUUGUAGGGGAAUAAAGAACAGUACGUGUACUGUAGUGAAUGUACCCUACGAAUAAGCAUCGGCU